AAUCAACGCUGGCGGCGUGCCUAACACAUGCAAGUCGCACGAGAAAGGGGAGCAAUCCCUGAGUAAAGUGGCGCACGGGUGAGUAACACGUGAAUCAUCUACCUCCGAGUGGGGAAUAACUGAGAGAAAUCUUAGCUAAUACCGCAUAACACUUACGAGUCAAAGCAGCAAUGCGCUUGGAGAGGAGUUCGCGGCCGAUUAGUUAGUUGGCGGGGUAAUGGCCCACCAAGACGAUGAUCGGUAUCCGGCCUGAGAGGGCGCACGGACACACUGGAACUGAAACACGGUCCAGACUCCUACGGGAGGCAGCAGUGGGGAAUUUUGCGCAAUGGGGAAACCCUGACGCAGCAACGCCGCGUGGAGGAUGAAGUAUCUUGGUACGUAAACUCCUUUCGAUUGGGAAGAUAAUGACGGUACCAAUAGAAGAAGCCCCGGCUAACUUCGUGCCAGCCGCCG
rnacentral:rRNA from 1 species